AUUAUUAUACAAAUUAUAUAUUUUAAAAUAUUUAUUUUUACUUUUUAUAUGUUCUAAUGGCGUUGGGGGCCGGAUGAGGAUAUGGCUCAUGCCUCUAUUGGAGGUUUACUACAGCAGAGGCUGUGGAACUCACGGUGCAGCAGGUGCAGAAAUUGAGAGAAAUGAGCCCACUUUAUGAAAUGGUGAAGGAAGGAAUUGAUAUUAAGAGUAUACAAUGGGCACAACACUAAGUUGAAAUGCUGUGUCCAUCAUGUUAGAAGUGGGCAAGCUUUGGAAUGUGUGACAAAUGAAAACAAGCCUGUGAGAUCAACUAUUCAACCAUAUGGAGUACAAUGAUGUUUAACCCAGGCGUUGACCAUUUGAUGGAAGAGCUUUUUGUUUUUGUCCCCACCCUUGAUUUCUAUUUUCAUGAGGUAAAAGAUGCAAGUUUUAUGGUAGUUUCUAGUUUCCCUUUUUGGCAUGUCAUGGGUACUAUCCUCUUUACCCUUUGGUUAGAGAGACCCUUUUAGGAUGGCAUUAUCAUUUUGUGGGGGGAAAGGGAAAAAGACUUGGUAAGCUGCACCCUUAUGCAUUUUUUGGACAAUUUGAAAGGAAAAGAACAGAAGAUCGUUUGAACGUGAGGAGCAAUCUAACCAAAGGUUGAGAUACACUUUUCUUUGUAAUAUUUGGUCAUGGACUAAGAUGUUUAUGGAUGAUGGUCUUUUGUCUUUAAUUGACUUUGUUAAUUGGUUGGAUUCUUAUUGAGGAUGGGUGUAGGCUUUUGUAGCCCCUCUAUGCAUUUGGUUGUGCCUUUGGGUGACUGUUGCAUACUUCCCAAGUACUUUGGGGCUCUCUUUUUGGUGCUUUCUUUUAUAAAAUGCUCUCUUGUUUUA